UACAGAGGUCUCAAGCGUUGUUCGGAUUCAUUGGGCGUAAAGGGUGCGUAGGCGGCGCGGUAAGUCGGGUGUGAAAUCUCGGAGCUUAACUCCGAAACUGCAUUCGAUACUGCCGUGCUUGAGGACUGGAGAGGAGACUGGAAUUUACGGUGUAGCGGUGAAAUGCGUAGAUAUCGUAAGGAAGACCGGUGGCGAAGGCGGCGAUCUGGACGAUGACUGACGCUGAGACGCGAAAGCGUGGGGAGCAAACAGG
rnacentral:rRNA from 1 species